GGGCCCGUAGCUCAGUUUGGCCAGAGCGUUCGGCUCUUAACCGAAAAGUCGUGGGUUCAAAUCCCACCGGGCCCG
rnacentral:tRNA from 1 species